UUUUUGUAAUUAAAUAACAGUAUUGUGUGACCUGGUUUAACUUUGUGUAAUCGAUAACCAUUUUCUAUGAAAGUAAACAACAAAAAAGCCUUUGUUCCCGCGAAAAAAUAGGGUAG
rfam:Pectobacterium wasabiae WPP163, complete genome.